rnacentral:rRNA from 1 species
CAGCAGCCGCGGGAAUACGUAGGGUGCAAGCGUUAAUCGGAAUUACUGGGCGUAAAGCGUGCGCAGGCGGUUAUAUAAGUCAGAUGUGAAAUCCCCGGGCUCAACCUGGGAACUGCAUUUGAGACUGUAUGGCUAGAGUGUGUCAGAGGGGGGUAGAAUUCCACGUGUAGCAGUGAAAUGCGUAGAUAUGUGGAGGAAUACCGAUGGCGAAGGCAGCCCCCUGGGAUAACACUGACGCUCAUGCACGAAAGCGUGGGGAGCGAACAGGAUUAGAGACCCGCGUAGUCCCUGUCUCUUAUAC